rnacentral:rRNA from 1 species
AGCGAACGCUGGCGGCAGGCCUAACACAUGCAAGUCGAACGAACUCUUCGGAGUUAGUGGCGGACGGGUGAGUAACACGUAGGAACGUGCCUUUAGGUUCGGAAUAACUCAGGGAAACUUGUGCUAAUACCGACUGUGCCCUUCGGGGGAAAGAUUUAUCGCCUUUAGAGCGGCCCGCGUCUGAUUAGCUAGUUGGUGAGGUAAAGGCUCACCAAGGCGACGAUCAGUAGCUGGUCUGAGAGGAUGAUCAGCCACAUUGGGACUGAGACACGGCCCAAACUCCUACGGGAGGCAGCAGUGGGGAAUCUUGCGCAAUGGGCGAAAGCCUGACGCAGCCAUGCCGCGUGAGUGAUGAAGGUCUUAGGAUUGUAAAAUUCUUUCACCGGGGACGAUAAUGACGGUACCCGGAGAAGAAGCCCCGGCUAACUUCGUGCCAGCCGCCGCGGUAA